GCCCGGAUAGCUCAGUCGGUAGAGCAGGGGAUUGAAAAUCCCCGUGUCCUUGGUUCGAUUCCGAGUCCGGGCC
rnacentral:tRNA from 2 species